ensembl:lncRNA
GACGAACUCUCAGCCGGCUUCUGUUUACGAGUAUACGCAGCUUGUUAUGGUUGUCGUAGCGCUCAAAUGAUUACUCGCUUUAGCGAAUUUUAACUUUAUUUGACGUUUUGUUGUACAUGGUUUGUUCGCGUCUAACGACUUUGAAUUGUUUAAUGGUUUUAUUUUUUUAUUUAUUUUUUUUUUACAAAUCUACUAGCUAGCCUACGAUCCUGCUUGAAGUACCGUGACAGAAAUGUGUGUGAUUAAGCUCACAAAUUUCUAUGGUGUAUAAAACUUAAAGAUUGGAUAUGUUUGGGUUUUUAGAGCGACCAAUGAGGAAAGUAGAAGGUUCAUUCGUUCGUUAGAUGCGACAGAAGUUAUGAAAAGACAAACCAUUUCAAACAUUUCAACGUAAGCAGAAACACAUCGCGAGACAGGUAGUGGACAGAGUCACAGGUAGUGGACACGGUCACAGGUAGUGGACACGGUCACAGGUAGUGGACACGGUCACAGGUAGUGGACACGGUCACAGGUAGUGGACACAGUCACAGGCAGUGGACACGGUCACAGGUAGUGGACACAGUCAC